rnacentral:rRNA from 1 species
GACGAACGCUGGCGGCGUGCUUAACACAUGCAAGUCGAACGGAAAGGCCCUGCUUUUGUGGGGUGCUCGAGUGGCGAACGGGUGAGUAACACGUGAGUAACCUGCCCUUGACUUUGGGAUAACUUCAGGAAACUGGGGCUAAUACCGGAUAGGAGCUCCUGCUGCAUGGUGGGGGUUAGAAAGUUUCGGCGGUCGGGGAUGGACUCGCGGCUUAUCAGCUUGUUGGUGGGGUAGUGGCUUACCAAGGCUUUGACGGGUAGCCGGCCUGAGAGGGUGACCGGCCACAUUGGGACUGAGAUACGGCCCAGACUCCUACGGGAGGCAGCAGUGGGGAAUAUUGCACAAUGGGCGGAAGCCUGAUGCAGCAACGCCGCGUGCGGGAUGACGGCCUUCGGGUUGUAAACCGCUUUCGCCUGUGACGAAGCGUGAGUGACGGUAAUGGGUAAAGAAGCACCGGCUAACUACGUG